GGUGAUUCUAUUAGAAAUUAUUCUUAGACAAAAUUAAAGUUAUUGCGGACAUUUUAGCAUCGUAGAUACAAGGUCGAAGAAUAUCAGCCGGUAUUUAUUAGGUGCGCAACUAAGUUCCCGCUGUUUGUCAACAGAUGGCUCCAGCAAGAUACUAUAACAGAGAUUCGACAACGCGUUAACGAUUUCUGAUUGGCUCCCGUCGCUUGGGGUAUAACCGGAAGUGAGAGAGAAAGAUAUAUAUAACUAAGAAAGAAAGCUUAGCCGACCUAACCUGUCACCUGUCGAAAGAAAACAGCGUGCCUACUGCCUAAAUAAUCAACAUUGAACUAAACUGAUUAAAAGUACAUUAAUCAUAUAACGAAAAAAAAAGAAAAUAGCCUCGGUUGAUCGAUUAUAAAGUGAAAAUAUAUAAAAGUGUCAACACUUGUGCAAUUUAUAAGGUGAAUAAAAAAUGCCUAAUAGCUGCUGUGCCGGCUAUUGUACUAAUACAAAUAUAAAAGGAUAUCAGAUGUGUCGAUUUCCAAAAGAUUCGGAAA